rnacentral:rRNA from 1 species
AACGAACGCUGGCGGCAUGCCUAACACAUGCAAGUCGAACGAGACCUUCGGGUCUAGUGGCGCACGGGUGCGUAACGCGUGGGAACCUGCCCUUAGGUUCGGAAUAACUCCCCGAAAGGGGUGCUAAUACCGGAUAAUGUCUUCGGACCAAAGAUUUAUCGCCUUUGGAUGGGCCCGCGUUGGAUUAGCUAGUUGGUAGGGUAAAAGCCUACCAAGGCGACGAUCCAUAGCUGGUCUGAGAGGAUGAUCAGCCACACUGGGACUGAGACACGGCCCAGACACUAAGGGGGGGCAGGGGUGGGAAAUAUGGAACAGGGGGCAAAAGCCUAAUCCGACAAUCCCGGGGGGUGGAAGAGGCCUUGGGGGUUGAAAAACUUUUUUCCCGGGGAUGAUAAUGACGGUACCGGAAAAAUAAGCUCGGGCUAGCUCGGUG